rnacentral:misc_RNA from 1 species
UACGUGGGGGGCAAGCGUUGUCCGGAAUCAUUGGGCGUAAAGAGCGUGUAGGCGGCUCGGUAAGUCCGCUCUGAAAGUCCGGGGCUCAACCCCGGGAGGCGGGCGGAUACUGUCGGGCUAGAGUCCGGAAGAGGCGAGUGGAAUUCCCGGUGUAGCGGUGAAAUGCGCAGAUAUCGGGAGGAACACCAAUGGCGAAGGCAGCUCGCUGGGACGGUACUGACGCUGAGACGCGAAAGCGUGGGGAGCGAACAGG